UUUUAUUAUGAGAGUUUGAUCCUGGCUCAGGACGAACGCUGGCGGCGUGCCUAAUACAUGCAAGUCGAACGCUUCUUUUCCCACUGGAGCUUGCUCCACCGGGAAAAGAGGAGUGGCGAACGGGUGAGUAACACGUGGGUAACCUGCCCAUCAGAAGGGGAUAACACUUGGAAACAGGUGCUAAUACCGUAUAACAAUCGAAACCGCAUGGUUUCGUUUUGAAAGGCGCUUUACGGUGCCGCUGAUGGAUGGACCCGCGGUGCAUUAGCUAGUUGGUGAGGUAACGGCUCACCAAGGCCACGAUGCAUAGCCGACCUGAGAGGGUGAUCGGCCACAUUGGGACUGAGACACGGCCCAAACUCCUACGGGAGGCAGCAGUAGGGAAUCUUCGGCAAUGGACGAAAGUCUGACCGAGCAACGCCGCGUGAGUGAAGAAGGUUUUCGGAUCGUAAAACUCUGUUGUUAGAGAAGAACAAGGGUGAGAGUAACUGUUCACCCCUUGACGGUAUCUAACCAGAAAGCCACGGCUAACUACGUGCCAGCAGCCGCGGUAAUACGUAGGUGGCAAGCGUUGUCCGGAUUUAUUGGGCGUAAAGCGAGCGCAGGCGGUUUCUUAAGUCUGAUGUGAAAGCCCCCGGCUCAACCGGGGAGGGUCAUUGGAAACUGGGAGACUUGAGUGCAGAAGAGGAGAGUGGAAUUCCAUGUGUAGCGGUGAAAUGCGUAGAUAUAUGGAGGAACACCAGUGGCGAAGGCGGCUCUCUGGUCUGUAACUGACGCUGAGGCUCGAAAGCGUGGGGAGCAAACAGGAUUAGAUACCCUGGUAGUCCACGCCGUAAACGAUGAGUGCUAAGUGUUGGAGGGUUUCCGCCCUUCAGUGCUGCAGCUAACGCAUUAAGCACUCCGCCUGGGGAGUACGACCGCAAGGUUGAAACUCAAAGGAAUUGACGGGGGCCCGCACAAGCGGUGGAGCAUGUGGUUUAAUUCGAAGCAACGCGAAGAACCUUACCAGGUCUUGACAUCCUUUGACCACUCUAGAGAUAGAGCUUCCCCUUCGGGGGCAAAGUGACAGGUGGUGCAUGGUUGUCGUCAGCUCGUGUCGUGAGAUGUUGGGUUAAGUCCCGCAACGAGCGCAACCCUUAUUGUUAGUUGCCAUCAUUUAGUUGGGCACUCUAGCAAGACUGCCGGUGACAAACCGGAGGAAGGUGGGGAUGACGUCAAAUCAUCAUGCCCCUUAUGACCUGGGCUACACACGUGCUACAAUGGGAAGUACAACGAGUCGCGAAGUCGCGAGGCUAAGCUAAUCUCUUAAAGCUUCUCUCAGUUCGGAUUGUAGGCUGCAACUCGCCUACAUGAAGCCGGAAUCGCUAGUAAUCGCGGAUCAGCACGCCGCGGUGAAUACGUUCCCGGGCCUUGUACACACCGCCCGUCACACCACGAGAGUUUGUAACACCCGAAGUCGGUGAGGUAACCUUUUUGGAGCCAGCCGCCUAAGGUGGGAUAGAUGAUUGGGGUGAAGUCGUAACAAGGUAGCCGUAUCGGAAGGUGCGGCUGGAUCACCUCCUUU
rnacentral:rRNA from 1 species